GAGCUUAUAGAACCUUGGGAACCAGGAACCCUUUAGGACCCUGUGAACUACAAGUCUGCUAUUUUAGGAAGUGGAUAAAAUGGCAUUUUGACAGAUCUGGAGGGUCUUGGAUCUACCUUUCAACAUUGGCAUUACUGAUAUUAGAGUACCACCACUCACUAGCUGUGGAGAUGUAGGAAGAUUACUUAACCACUCAGAGCCUUGGUUUCCUCAUUUGUUAUGUGAAGAUGACAAUAUCAGAUGACAGUGAGAUCUGAGAUGAAUUUAACUGCCUUCAGUAGUGCUGGCCUGCUCCUGAGAGAGAGAUGAUUGAGAGGGAGGAAGUAGAGAGGAGGAAGAAGCCUUUACUCACACUCCUUGAGGAGUGAUUCAGGUGGACAGCCUGAAUUACGGGAUUUAUUGGCAGCAAGUGAUACCAGGACUGCAGAGAGAGGUUUUCAUCUAGAACCCGGAAAGGAAAAAGUUGAGCCAUUAUCCGGAACUGAAGGAUGAGCUAAUUGGAUGGGGAGGCUUAGGGGCAUGGACAACCAGCUUGGAGUCUGAGUCGUUAUCCCACUGAGCCAUCAGUCUCAGGACAAGAGCGAGUGCCUUCACCUCAUUCCCUUAAAGCCUGUAGUCUGACCCACAACAGAAAGAGAGUUUCUGUUCUGCCACAUCUCGCUAUGUGUACUCAGGCAAUUUACUUAUCCCCUCAAGGACUUAGUUUCCUAAUCUGCAAAAUGGGUGACAGAAGAAUGAUCAGGUUAUUGGUGUCCACUGGAAGUCACUCAAGCACAAACAGAUGAACGGACUGGGAGCGUGGAAAAGAGCUAUGUUUUUGCUUUCCCUGCAUCCACCCACUGCUUCAUCCAGAGCAUUUCUGUUUCCUAUAUGGAUUAUGUGUCUGCAUCCCAGGGUGAUAUUAGGUCUGAACAAAGGACUUCAAAGCUAAGAUGGAAAACCCACUGGCUUUGGCAAUCUCUAGGGUUGCUUCUACUUAUUUUCUGUUUCUGUUUGUCAUGAAGUCACAUGAGAGAAUGUUGUACUGAAGACAUGAUGGGAAAGGGGCCCAAAUAGAAAUUAAUCUAAAAAACGAGUGUGCCAAGAAUAGAAGGGUUUUGGGUGAGGGGACCCUCAGGUCUUGCUUAGAAGGUGGUAGUGGAAAAUUCCACACCUCACUGGAAGGGGCUGUUUCUUCCUGCCUCCUUCACAUUGAUCUCUCUCAAAUGUAAAACCGAUCCUUCCCACCUCAGAAUUGGGCCAAAUCUGGUUUGAAGCAUCCAUUUCUUGUGAAGAGUCUGUCCUGUGGUGUGUAAUUUAAUUUAUAAUAUAUUAUCAAAGACAGUAUAAUAAAAAUAGGUGCUGCUGGUUGCCCUAAUUGGGAUACACGUUAUAGGAAAUCGUUCACAGAGUUUAAUCAAAGAGCCACACUGCAAGGAAAGUUACUACAAGCAUCUAGCUGUCUUUAUCUACAAUUGACCCCAGAAGUUUAGACAUUAGCAUGUUUUUAUAAUUGGGUUUACAUUGAUAAAAUUGCUGGUAUUCAAAAUAUGUGGCUUGGCUAGAACUAUGAUAAAUGUUAUAGAAACCCUUCUGCACUUGUUUAAGGCAAAAUAAUGCAGGGCACUCAGUAGUCCAUAUUCUUCGCAGUGGUACCAAAGCUUGAUUCUGAAACUGUCCUUUGUCUAGCAACUGAUUCUGAGAUUGCUGGAUUAAUCCUCAAAGAUUAACAGAGGCUCACGCCUGUAAUCCCAGCACUUUGGGAGGCUGACGCGGGUGGAUUACCUGAGGUCAGGAGUUUGAAGCCAGCCUGGCCAACAUGGGGAAACCCCAUUUCUACUAAAAAUACAAAAAUUAGCUGGGUGUGGUGGUGGGUGCCUGUAAUCCCAGCUACUUGGGAGGCUGAGACAUGAGAAUCGCUUGAACCCGGGAGACGGCCCUUGCAGUGAGCCGAGAUUGUGCCACUGAACUCCAGCCUGGGUGAUAGAGUGAGACUCGGUCUCAAAAAAAAAAAAGAAAGAAAAGAAACAGAUUAACAGAAUCCCUACUUCCAGAACACUGUUACUUUUGCUUUAUGCAAAGACAUGGUCAGGAUAAUUAAGAGGGCAAAGAUUUGAGAUUUAUCCAGUUUAUAAGGCAGAUUGUAUGCCUUUUAAAAAUUCUAUUGCUAAUAAACACUUGUAUGAAUGGCAAACUUUGUUUUGCUUCCUGCUUCUGAUAGAACCUGGGAACAAAGUUUUAGAGGCAGAAACUUAUACCUUUUCUACUCAAUGGAUGGUGCAUGCAACCAUCAGCAGGGCCACUCUAGACCUACUGAAUUAACAAAUGUAACUAACAGGAUACCAGGCAAUUCAUAGCCAAGUUAAAGUUUGAGGAGUUCUGUUACAGACUUCAACUACUAACUCUAGACAGUUAUUGAUAUCUCUCUAAUAAUCCAAUAAUCAUCAAACACAAGAUUGGCUUACACUAAUUUUCAACAGAUAGCAAGAAGAAGAGCUUCCCAGGAUUUUAUGUUGUGAGCCAUCUGAAGGGAACUUGGAAGGAGGGUAAAAGAAAACCAAGCAAGAAAAUAAAGCUUAGCAGGAGCUGCAAACUCAGAUAACUACACAGACAAGGCCAGUUAGGAAAACAAAGUGAGAAUGACGGAAACUACCAGAACUGGAGAAUUCAUGCCUCUUCCCUAAACAACUACCAUUACUCCGCUCUGGAUUGAUGCUGCACAGAAUGUGGGCCUGAACUUAUGAUUUUGUUUCAGAAGCCCAGAAUAUAUAUUUUAAUGAAAAACUUCCCUUUUAUUCAAUGAGGCCCAAUAGUCUAAGUCUAAUUCUAUUAUCUAAAAACAACUGAACAAACUCAGUCACCAAGUUCUUCAAAGGGCCCACAGCAAGUCACUUCUUUCUGUAUUUCUAUUUGUAUAUUCCUUUCAUGGGCUAUUAUUAGAGAACAUGUAAUUUUCCAAAUUCAUUAGAAUAAUAAUUAUAUGCUUGGGAGACCUGAGCCAAAGACUCUGAGCCUGCAUUGCUGAUUUCAAUUGGAGAUGAUAUCCUUGGACAGCUGGCAACCUGCAGCUUGCCAAUGGGGCUUCAAUUUUUUGACAGGAAAUCUGAGAGCUUGAAGACCACACUACUUCAUGGCUAUCUGAACAGGUAGCUGCUAUAAGCUCUGCAAGUUGGCAAUAUACAAUUGAGAUCAGAGUUAGUGUGUUUGAUUAGUAGAGUGUUAUUUCUCUGGGGAGACACAGGGCAUUGGGUGGUGGAAGCUCUUAGAACCCCCAGGUAAACGUAAUGAGCUGCUUCCCUGUCAAUAUGCCCGACACUUGAAUUUUUUUCAAUGCAUUGUCUAAAGACUACCAGCAUUAGAAUUUCUUUAUCUUGUAAAACGCAGAAUCUCAGGUCUGAAUACAAAUCUACUAAGUAAAAAUCCUGGGAGUAAAUUUAUAAAAGAGCAUUUUAACAGAUACCCCAGAUGGUUGUUAUGUAUAUUAAAAUUGUUGAGCUAUAGCAUUUCCAUGAGACAAUGUUUGGUAGUAGCCAAUUGAUCCCCGUUUCUACCAAGGCUAGAAUGAAAAGAAAUGCACUUUCUCUGUUGCAAGAAUUGGAGUGUGGAGGAAGUGACAAUAGUAUUAGGAUGCUCCUAUGAUGUUAUUAUGCCAGGGAGCCAACACCCCUGAUUUAUGUCAGGUAUGUCUGGGCUAUAAGCCAGUUCUUUAGGGGGAAAGAAUGUUCUGACUUGUAUUUUCCUAUUUCAGUGGUGUAAAUACUCCUGCCGUGGUCAAUUUCAUGUUACCAAUGUGAUGUUUCUGAACACAAAGUUGGGAAGGGAUGGGCAGAAUGGGCUCUCAAGAGCCUGUGCCAGUUCGUUCCAGCUCAUCACAGAGGAGGCCCUCUCAAAGCAGACCCAGAAAUAGAUCUAAGUUCAGGGAACAAUGGCAAUGUUACAAAAAAGGAAUAAUUUUAACCAACUGGAAAUUUAUAUCAAAUCCCAGUGUCAUGUUUCAGAUGGCUAGGUUGAACUAGGCA
rnacentral:lncRNA from 1 species